rnacentral:rRNA from 1 species
GAUGAACGCUGGCGGCGUGCCUAAUACAUGCAAGUCGAGCGAACAGACGAGGAGCUUGCUCCUCUGACGUUAGCGGCGGACGGGUGAGUAACACGUGGAUAACCUACCUAUAAGACUGGGAUAAAUUCGGGAAACCGGAGCUAAUACCGGAUAACAUGUUGAACCGCAUGGUUUAACAGUGAAAGACGGUCUUGCUGUCACUUAUAGAUGGAUCCGCGCCGCAUUAGCUAGUUGGUAAGGUAACGGCUUACGAAGGCAACGAUGCGUAGCCGACCUGAGAGGGUGAUCGGCCACACUGGAACUGAGACACGGUCCAGACUCCUACGGGAGGCAGCAGUAGGGAAUCUUCCGCAAUGGGCGAAAGCCUGACGGAGCAACGCCGCGUGAGUGAAGAAGGUCUUCGGAUCGUAAAACUCUGUUAUUAGGGAAGAACAAAUGUGUAAGUAACUAUGCACGUCUUGACGGUACCUAAUCAGAAAGCCACGGCUAACUACGUG